AUCAUGCAUCUAGGCUAGCCAUCUGAUAAAAUACUAAUGGCUCAAACUCACCUACCAAGCUCCCUUAUUUUGCCUUGCUUCUAACCAGGGAUCUGUCUGCUAUCCUCAGGUUUUCUACUCCGAAUUAGCUGUAGUCAUUACUGCCACUGAGGCAAGAGAUGAUCAUAUAUUUUCCUGUCUUUCUAUUGCCUUCAACUUAUACGACAAUCUAUCUUCUGGACCUUUAUUCAGAUACUGCAUAUCAUUUUAUUCAAUAUCAGAUCACCUGUUAGGUCUCCCCACAUCUAUCCAGGGCCACCACCCCAUUCCCCAAUCCCCAGUGCAAGAAAUUCAAGAUUCUGUAGCUUCAACACAAGGCAAAAAGCACUGGAAAUCCACCAAUAUAGAUGUAGUUUCGGGCAACCAAAUUCAAUGUAUAUAACUUGUACUAAAGAACGAUUCUUGGAUUUUUACUGAGUAAUCGGAUGAAAGGAAGAAAAAAGUAAUUCAAUGCAUUACUUUGUGUACGAGAUUUCUUACUUCUCCGGCUUACAGUUGUCGAAUAUGAAAAUGAAAGCGACAAUAAUGUAAUAUCUUCCUCUAUUUGGUGAGGUACAAGUGUAAGGGUCGAGAGAGACCAUACUAUUACUAGACUUCUUCAAUAACAGAGAUGAACACAAUACAUGUCCCUUUCCGUUUAUCUUUAAAUGUUCUCUAGAUUGGAACACAAUCAUAUCCAACCAUGCCAGAAAAGCUUUUAUCACAUGCACAUGCACAUGCAUGUUAGAAUGCUACAUAAGCAGGCCAAAAAAUAUUUUGCCGAAAAGAAACAAGCUGCAUGUGAAGUCAUGAGCAUGUUUGCCUGGUAAGCAACGGAUGAGCCAUAUACAAAUAUUAGUUAGUUAUAAUUAUCCAAUUCCUACAUUAAUUUAAAUGCCUUUUUUUAUAGUUUUUUGCAUGUUCUUAGCAAAAUAAAUUGAGCUCGUGGAUUGCGAUCGGGAGCUGUCACUGAUCAAAGCAAUACAAUUGAAGUAUAAUUUCAUUUUUUUGGUAUAACAACAGCUCAAAUGAACGAAUCUAAUCAGCAGAUUCGUUUUCCAACUUCACAAGAAAGGGAUUUCUGCACAUUCAAAAU
rnacentral:lncRNA from 1 species